rnacentral:tRNA from 1 species
UGCCCCAUGGCUGAGUUGGUCACAGCGUCCGACUGUUACCUUGAACAUCGGAAGGUCGUGAGUUCGAGCCUCACUGGGGCAG